UGGGGAAUUUUGGACAAUGGGCGAAGCCUGAUCCAGCAAUGCCGCGUGUGUGAAGAAGGCCUUCGGGUUGUAAAGCACUUUUGUCCGGAAAGAAAUCCUUGGCUCUAAUACAGUCGGGGGAUGACGGUACCGGAAGAAUAAGCACCGGCUAACUACGUGCCAGCAGCCGCGGUAAUACGUAGGGUGCAAGCGUUAAUCGGAAUUACUGGGCGUAAAGCGUGCGCAGGGCGGUUUGCUAAGACCGAUGUGAAAUCCCCGGGCUCAACCUGGGAACUGCAUUGGUGACUGGCAGGCUAGAGUAUGGCAGGAGGGGGGUAGAAUUCCACGUGUGAGCAGUGAAAUGCGUAGAGAUGUGGAGGAAUACCGAUGGCGAAGGCAGCCCCUGGGCCAAUACUGACGCUCAUGCACGAAAGCGUGGGGGA
rnacentral:rRNA from 1 species